UCCUUGGUGGUCCAGUGGUUAAGACUCUGGACUUCCAAUGCAGGGGAUGAGGGUUCGAUCCCUGGUCAGGGAA
rnacentral:tRNA from 1 species